UGCGCGUGCGCGCCGGGCGGCCAAGCCCGCGGCUGGCUGGCUGGCUGGUUUCCUUCCUCGCCCUCGGUGGUGUUUUGGAAAAAAAAAAAAAAAAAGAAAAAAAAUAUUCUCCUUUAUUAGAUCGAGCCGAGAAGAUGGGUACGAUGAUCAAAACCUACGCGCUUACGGGUGUUGGGGGGAAGACACGCGCGGGCCCUUGCGUGGGCUCUGCACGGCUCCCCCCCCCCCCCCGAUGCUGGCCCCGCGCAGGCCCGCAGCAGAGCCCAGGGCAUGCUAGCUGGUUAAGGAGACGUCAGGGCAACAGCAUUUCCCAUUCUGUGAAGAGAACUCUCAAGUAGCUACACCACUGUGCGGAGGCCCAGGUGGGGAAUGAAGGAGACUGGGCUGGCUGAUUGAUCACGUCGUGUGUAAGGAGCUGGAGUGGUAUAAACAAAGUUUGUCGAUAGACAGCUGCAGGAAGGAGAGACAAUGGCAGCCCUUAUCAACAUGAUGAGAGGUGCUUCCUUCAGAUACAAAAGUGAUCUCUGGAGCUCCGUUUCCCAACCAUUCUCCAGUCCCGGAUCCCACAGCGCGUCUUGUUAAUAUGGCUCUUAUGUUUUACUUUGUUUGACACUCCCUUUUUUAAAUAACCUUGACUUAUUGAAGGAACCAGAUGUUCCAAUUGAAGAAACAAUCAUUCCAAACAACGUCAAACUUCUGGUUUGUUUGAUUACUUGGACAAAUAUAUUAGCAUUUGCUUUGAUCCAUUAUCUCCUCUGUUUUCUGGAAUCUAUGUUAUAGCUAAGGAUUUAUUGGAUUAAAAUUAAAUAUUUUUUGUUACAAUA